rnacentral:rRNA from 1 species
UACGUAGGGGGCAAGCGUUGUCCGGAAUCAUUGGGCGUAAAGAGCGUGUAGGCGGUUCGGUAAGUCGGCUGUGAAAGUCCAGGGCUCAACCCUGGGAUGCCGGUCGAUACUGCCGGACUAGAGUUCGGAAGAGGCGAGUGGAAUUCCCGGUGUAGCGGUGAAAUGCGCAGAUAUCAAGCAGAACACCUGCGGCGAAGGCGGCCGUUCUGGACGAUGACUGACGCUGAGACGCGAAAGCGUGGGGAGCAAACAGG